GGUCUUUAAGGCCCCUUCCAAUCCAAACCAUUCUGUGAGUCUUUGUCCAAAACCACCAACCAAGGAGUGUCUAGUUUGCAGUUCACCAUUAAGAAAAUGGUCUGAUUUUAAUUUGCUCUUUUUUGUAUCUCAGAUAAAGCCAGAAAGGUUUUCAUUUCUCACUGGAGUCACCCAGAGCCCAUUCUUGGAGGCAGCCUUAUGAGGAGUAAUCUUACUUCAAAGUUCAGCCACCAAGAUUUGGAAAAACUGAUGAGAAAAAGACUGUGGGGAACUCACAGAAUGCUGAGGAACAAGGAUACAUCAAACUUUACAAGGGAUUAUGAAAUCUGAGCUUCUGUUCUUCACAAGUGUGUCCAAACUGAUCUACCCUGAUCUAAGGUACGUGACGGAUUUCAACACCAGCAAUCCUUUACUGCAUGGAGUUAAGCUGCUCUGUCUCCUGAAAUCAGCUUGGACUCAAACAGAGCCAGCACGAUUGUUUACAAAAUAAGCAGUUUGAGCUUUUCAGCUCUGUUUUUAUUCGAAUACUACAAGCUGAUUUUUUCAAGGCAGCUGUCCCUCUUGCUCUUCUACCUUACUGUUUUUAUUCGGUGGUUUAAAAUGCAACACUUGACGUUUCCUUACCUAAGGA